CUUUAGUAUAUCAGGGAUAUUAUGCGGGUCCCCUCUUAUCAGAUUAAAUGUAAUCAUUUACCAAACCCAAUAAUGUGAUAAAAGGCCUUUACAAGUACUGUAAUGAUAUUUGUACAAAUAAUGUAAGACCCUGAACCUAAAAAUAUACGUCACAACGUUUACCCCUUGACUCAAUAAAAAAAUAUUCAGGACCUGACUUCAGGUCUGAACCCAAAAAACAAUGUUAAGGCUCACUGCAAAAAACUAAGGUUAUUCCUUGGAAUCAGUUGUUGAAUCACCCCAUCCUAAAACCGCUUCCCGACAUCCAAAUAAAGUAGGAGCAAAAAACGGCCUCCACAGCAAUAGUAAGUGUCUAUUAUAGCUGUAUGCAUACAUACCCACUUAAGUAGUUCACAAGUCUUCUAUCAAACAAUGGCUGAUGUUUAUCACUUUCAGAUUCAUUUUCAUUUAUAUUUUCAUGUUUUGUUUUAGCAAUUCUUACAUAUGAUUCUAUCUUAUAUAUUACUGUCGAAGAUAAUAUAGGCCAUCUGGUGUAAAGUCCACUGGUAAAUCGGAUGUUGGCGCUGUAGUAAUAGCAUUCAUAGUUUACCGGUAAACCCUUAUCAUGGUUAAAGUAUAAUCCUGCCCACGGUCACAAUAAGCAGUAGUUGCCACACCUUUUGGUCUAUAAAUAUAGCAUGCUCUCAUCUCUCUCAACUCAUAGGCAUCUGGAAUCUACACCAAGGACUCUGCACAAACCAACAAAAGAAGAAGAACAAUGCAUUCCACAACCACCCAACACCAAUCUAAUUACCUGGGCUGGUCCAUAUUCACAACGCUUUGCUGCUGUUUGCCACUGGGAAUAGCUGCCAUCAUCUUCUCCAAUCAGGUCAACACAGCAAACGCCGUUGGGGAUGUCAACAGAGCAAUAGAUUCAUCUCGGAGAGCAAGAAAUUUUAACAUAGCUGGACUUGUCAUUGGGAUACUUGUACUCAUCGGAGUCAUAACGUCCGUUAUUCUCACGAUUAAUGCUUAACUCUGAAGGAAAGAUGUGUUCCUGGAGGACUGUUAUGAUCUGUUGUCUACUUUGGACUAUUAUCACCUGUAAAUUGAACCACUCUGUAAGCAGAAAUGAAUGCAAGAACUGAGGACAGAAAUCAUGGUGUUUGUGUACAAGAUUCAAAGCACCAUGAGACCAGAAAAAUUGAAGUUGAAACUUUCUUCAUUGUAUGAAUGUGUUAUAAUCAAUCCAUCCUUUGGCUAAGUAAUUGACUCUGUCCUGUAACUAAUCACUUAAUUCUUAAGUAAUUCAUGUGGUCGUAAAACAUCGAUAGCUAUAGAAAUGUAUAUAUUCAUCAGAAAUACUGAACUUAACUGAACACAUUCAUAACUACAAUUUGUCCCCUUCUCAGAACAGUAACCGAAACCCCUUUUAAAGUCCAGAUUUAUGUACCCUUCAGUGAUAAGCUUUCGUUUCCAGAUAGGGAUUGAUUGUAUGCAUUAUAAGCAAAUGAGCAAUGUGCUUAUAACAAAUACCAUUGUUAUUUUACUAGCCAUUUUGUCAUUAUGAAUAUCCAUCUUAAAAAUGGAUGGGUGGCAUGCAAUAAAUUCAACAGAGACAACAGUUUUUUUUACUUUUAUUCCACAGCACAAAUUAGAUAAAUAAAUGGCAUUGUCAGAACAGUAA